GAUGAACGCUAGCGGCAGGCCUAACACAUGCAAGUCGAGGGGCAGCACAGGUAGCAAUACUGGGUGGCGACCGGCGGAUGGGUGCGUAACGCGUAUGCAACCUACCAUUGAUUGGGGCAUAGCCCGAAGAAAUUCGGAUUAAUACUCCAUAAUAUUCAUCAAAGGCAUCUUUUAUGAAUUAAAGCUUUUGCGAUCAAUGAUGGGCAUGCGUGACAUUAGUUAGUUGGUGAGGUAACGGCUCACCAAAACGAUGAUGUCUAGGGGUUCUGAGAGGAUUAUCCCCCACACUGGUACUGAGACACGGACCAGACUCCUACGGGAGGCAGCAGUGAGGAAUAUUGGUCAAUGGACGCAAGUCUGAGCCAGCCAUGCCGCGUGCAGGAUGACGGCCCUAUGGGUUGUAAACUGCUUUUCCACGGGAAGAACCCUCCGACGUGUCGGAGACUGACGGUACCGUGGGAAUAAGCAUCGGCUAACUCCGUG
rnacentral:rRNA from 1 species